AGUGAACGCUGGCGGUAGGCCUAACACAUGCAAGUCGAACGGCAGCACAGUAAGAGCUUGCUCUUACGGGUGGCGAGUGGCGGACGGGUGAGGAAUACAUCGGAAUCUACUUUUUCGUGGGGGAUAACGUAGGGAAACUUACGCUAAUACCGCAUACGACCUACGGGUGAAAGCAGGGGAUCUUCGGACCUUGCGCGAUUGAAUGAGCCGAUGUCGAAUUAGCUAGUUGGCGGGGUAAAGGCCCACCAAGGCGACGAUCCGUAGCUGGUCUGAGAGGAUGAUCAGCCACACUGGAACUGAGACACGGUCCAGACUCCUACGGGAGGCAGCAGUGGGGAAUAUUGGACAAAGGGCGCAAGCCUGAUCCAGCCAUACCGCGUGGGUGAAGAAGGCCUUCGGGUUGUAAAGCCCUUUUGUUGGGAAAGAAAAGCAGCAGGUUAAUACCCCGCUGUUCUGACGGUACCCAAAGAAUAAGCACCGGCUAACUUCGUG
rnacentral:rRNA from 1 species